GCAACACCAAGCGACUACCACAUUAUUUCAAGUUUAUUUGGAGUCAGUGUCUCCACUGUUUGCAUCAUUCUAAGACAGGAGACUGCAGCUGUCGUGAAGACAAGUACAACCGUUUUAUUUCGCUACCUGGUGGUAAAGGCAUCCUAGCCACCAUCUGUGGGUUCAAGCAGCUUGGGUAUCCACAAUGUGCUGGUGACAUCGGCGAGACACACAUCCCCAUCACUGCCCCAAAAGAAUAUCCAAAGGACUACUUGAACAGCAAAGGGCAGCAUUAUCCUGUGUUGCAGGCUGUUGCUGAUCACAACCUCUGAGUUCAGCGAUUGUCAUUGGUAUAGAGAUACCAGUUAAUCUGGUAGGAGACCCAGCCUACCCACUGAAGAGGUGGUUAAUGACAGGCUUUUCCCAGGACACAUCUCUGAAUAACCACCAGCAGAAGUUUAAUGACCACCUGAGUUCUGCCAGGGUGGCUAUUGACGACGUCUUAGGACGCUUGAAGGGAUGCUAGAGAUGUUUGGUAAAGUGCAUCAACGUUGACGACAGACACUAACGGCAUGUUGCAUACUGCACAAUGUGUGCGAACUGAAGAAAGAACAGUUUCUGGCAUGAAAGAAACAUUGGCCAAGAUCAGUUGAAGAAAGAACCGUUUCUGGCUGAAUGGAACUGGAUCAUCAGCAGACAGAGGCUUAGCUCACAGAGCAAGAUCAUAGUUUACUACAAGGGCCAGUGGUGGAAAGUGUUGCUACCGUACGGGAUGCCAUUAUGACCUCUUUACAGGACACCAUCAUAACCGUGCACGGAUGUUUUAGCUUUGUGGUGCAAGUUGUUUGUGAUUAUUGUUAAAUACCGCGGUGCUCAAGUUGUGGCUAUGCCAACAAAGAACAUUUCGUAACAACGUUGUGAAUUUGCAGUGCAACACUUUUUAAAUAUUUUUUUGCCUGAAUGCUAUUUACUUUUGCACAGUAUGUUUUCAAGAUGUUUGUGAAUUAUGUUAGACUUUGUAUUUGUACGAUUUUUUUUUGUUACGUGAACGUUAUGUUACAUUACUUUGUACUUUUAAGAUUUAUGUGAAUGCUUUGUUCUUGGAAGAGAUCCUCAAUAAAUGUGUUUUAUGAA